AGGACGAACGCUGGCGGCGUGCUUAACACAUGCAAGUCGAACGAGGCGCUUGCGCCUAGUGGCGAACGGGUGAGUAACACGUGAGCAACCUGCCCUUGGCUCUGGGAUAGCCUCCGGAAACGGGGAUUAAUACCGGACAUGACCUUCUCCUGCAUGGGGGAGGGUGGAAAGUUUUUCGGCCAGGGAGGGGCUCGCGGCCUAUCAGCUUGUUGGGGGGGUAACGGCUCACCAAGGCGACGACGGGUAG
rnacentral:rRNA from 1 species